AAGCUCGUAGUUGAAAUUGUGUCCUGCGGCGUCGGUCUACCGGUUGCGGUACGACAGGCGCGUCUGCGGGGCUUCUCGCCGGUGCGUGUUCACCGCCGGUACGUCGCCGCGUCGUUGCGCUCACGCGUUUCGGCGUCGACGGCGUCGAGGCGGGCCCUCGCGGCUGUUUACUUUGAACAAAUUAGAGUGCUCAAAGCGGGCUAAUAUUUGCCUGAAUAUUGUGCGCAUGGAAUAAUAGAAUAGGACCUCGGUUCUGUUUUGUUGGCUUUCUGAUACCAGAGGUAAUGAUUAAUAGGGACAACUGGGGGCAUUCGUAUUGCGACGUUAGAGGUGAAAUUCUUGGAUCGUCGCAAGACGGACUAAAGCGAAAGCAUUUGCCAAAGGUGUUUUCAUUAAUCAAGAACGAAAGUUAGAGGUUCGAAGGCGAUUAGAUACCGCUGUAGUUCUAACCAUAAAUGAUGCCAGCCAGCGAUCCGCCGAAGUUUCUUUGUUUGAUUCGGUGGGCAGCUCCCGGGAAACCAA
rnacentral:rRNA from 1 species